AGAGCGAACGCUGGCGGCAGGCCUAACACAUGCAAGUCGAGCGCCCGUAGCAAUACGGGAGCGGCAGACGGGAUAGUAACACGUGGGAACGCGCCCUUCGGUUCGGAAUAACUCAGGGAAACUUGAGCUAAUACCGCAUAACAUCCUGCCUUUUAAGAGGUGGAGAUCAAAGCCGGGGACCGCAAGGCCUGGCACUUGAAGAGGGGCCCGCGUCUGAUUAGCUAGUUGGUGGGGUAAUGGCCUACCAAGGCAACGAUCAGUA
rnacentral:rRNA from 1 species